rnacentral:lncRNA from 1 species
CUCCACAACUCCUUGCAAGCUGAGGGAGCCGGCUCCGGCCUCUGCCAGCCUAGGAAGGGGCUCCCACAGUGCAGCGGCGGGCUGAAGGACUCCUCAAGUGCCACCAAAGUGGGAGCCCAGGCAGAGGAGGCGCCGAGAGCGAGCGAGGGCUGCCUGCCAGCACGCUGUCACCUCUCAGCAAUAGACUGCUCUUGAGACUGGAGUGCAAUGUUGUUAUCAUAGCUCACUGCAACCUGGAACCCCUAGUCUCAAGAGAUCCUCCAGCCUCAGCCUCCCUGUUCCAGGAUACAUGUGCAUGAUGUGCAAGUUUGCUACAUGGGUAAAUAUGUGCCAUGGCGGUUUGCUGCAUCUAUUAACCCAUUACCUAGGUAUUAAGCCCG